AUCCAGCUGACGAGUCCCAAAUAAGACGAGACGCGCGACCCGGAU
rnacentral:hammerhead_ribozyme from 1 species